rnacentral:lncRNA from 1 species
ACUCCUUGAAUAACAGAGGACCUGGAAUGUUGUCUGUAACACAGAAGAUUCUUAAUAAAGGCCUGCCAACUUGAAGUGGACUUAACACACCUGCUCUUGCCAUAAGCACAUUGUUUUCAAGAGGAGAAGCUGGGAUCCAUGUCACUUAAGCAGUGUAUGGGCAAUGUCACAGCCAUGAAUGGAGGAAAGCCAGGGACUGAAUCCUAAUCCAGCCAGAGGGUGAUGAGAAAGAUGGACUUGGACUUCAAAGAAAUGAAAAAGCAUCAGAGAGAAGGAGAGACAGGGGUCUCAGAUACAGAGGCCACCGUGAAUCACAUCACCCAGCCCUGCAGUUGCCUUGCACCUCCUGCAUUAGCGGCACCAGUGAUGCGUGUCUGUCAUCUCCCCUGCCACGGUUUGCAUCCCUAGCCCAGCACCGGGAUGGAUGAAAGGGAUCAGAGUCCAAGAGGAGCCUGCUCUUCAAAAAUGCCUAGCGACAAACAGUCCUGGGAGGAUGGCCACAGGGAAAUGGAAGAGAAAACUGAAUUAUUCUGAUUUACCUUCUCUUGUUAAUCGGGUCCCUUUGCAACCACUAGAGACUUUCAGGAAAAAAAAUCAGCUUAUUUAUCUCCUUUCAUAUGGAAUGUAGGUUUUUGAGGUCUCAUUCUAUAUUCCUUAUGUAUCCUUAAAGAAAUACUCUAGAGAUAAGACCAGUUUCUGGAAGAGGUGGGGGUGAGUUAAAGAGAGGAGCAAAUUCUUCUCUGGCCCAAGAAAGAAAAUGCAGCUCAAUUUCUUUUCAGGACCCCAGGAAAAGUCCUCAUGUCCAGAAACUCAUCAGAUUCACUUUAUCUUUGUGAUCCUCUCUGAGUCUAUCUCUGCUAUUAAGGUUGUUGCUGCCCAAAGACUCCCCACACACAACUCACCGAAAGGGGCUGGUGAGAAUGUCAGGCCUGCCCCCGAUUCAGUAGCUCAGUGACU